UAAAACAUGAUGGUUCCCCGUUCAUCGGGGAUGAAAAGGGAAUGCGGUGUGAGGCCGCAGCUGCCCCCGCAACUGUUUAUGGCGAGAGGGUUGGUCAAGUGAGGUAUGUGCCUCAGCCACUGAGGGCUGAACAAAGUCUUUGGGAAGGUGGCCAAUGUUUGAUGACCCGUGAGCCAGGAGACCUGCCAUCAAAAAUG
rnacentral:ncRNA from 1 species